rfam:Arthrobacter woluwensis strain DSM 10495 genome assembly, contig: Ga0074710_14
AAUACACACCAUUCACUACGGAUCGUUCGGCACGUACCUGCCGAUGAAGGGACACGAUA